GACGAACGCUGGCGGCGUGCUUAACACAUGCAAGUCGAACGGAAAGGCCCUGCUUUUGUGGGGUGCUCGAGUGGCGAACGGGUGAGUAACACGUGAGUAACCUGCCCUUGACUUUGGGAUAACUUCAGGAAACUGGGGCUAAUACCGGAUAGGAGCUCCUGCUGCAUGGUGGGGGUUGGAAAGUUUCGGCGGUUGGGGAUGGACUCGCGGCUUAUCAGCUUGUUGGUGGGGUAGUGGCUUACCAAGGCUUUGACGGGUAGCCGGCCUGAGAGGGUGACCGGCCACAUUGGGACUGAGAUACGGCCCAGACUCCUACGGGAGGCAGCAGUGGGGAAUAUUGCACAAUGGGCGGAAGCCUGAUGCAGCAACGCCGCGUGCGGGAUGACGGCCUUCGGGUUGUAAACCGCUUUCGCCUGUGACGAAGCGUGAGUGACGGUAAUGGGUAAAGAAGCACCGGCUAACUACGUGCCAGCAGCCGCGGUGAUACGUAGGGUGCGAGCGUUGUCCGGAUUUAUUGGGCGUAAAGGGCUCGUAGGUGGUUGAUCGCGUCGGAAGUGUAAUCUUGGGGCUUAACCCUGAGCGUGCUUUCGAUACGGGUUGACUUGAGGAAGGUAGGGGAGAAUGGAAUUCCUGGUGGAGCGGUGGAAUGCGCAGAUAUCAGGAGGAACACCAGUGGCGAAGGCGGUUCUCUGGGCCUUUCCUGACGCUGAGGAGCGAAAGCGUGGGGAGCGAACAGGCUUAGAUACCCUGGUAGUCCACGCUGUAAACGGUGGGUACUAGGUGUGGGGUCCAUUCCACGGGUUCCGUGCCGUAGCUAACGCUUUAAGUACCCCGCCUGGGGAGUACGGCCGCAAGGCUAAAACUCAAAGGAAUUGACGGGGCCCCGCACAAGCGGCGGAGCAUGCGGAUUAAUUCGAUGCAACGCGUAGAACCUUACCUGGGUUUGACAUGGAUCGGGAGUGCUCAGAGAUGGGUGUGCCUCUUUUGGGGUCGGUUCACAGGUGGUGCAUGGCUGUCGUCAGCUCGUGUCGUGAGAUGUUGGGUUAAGUCCCGCAACGAGCGCAACCCUUGUUCACUGUUGCCAGCACGUUAUGGUGGGGACUCAGUGGAGACCGCCGGGGUCAACUCGGAGGAAGGUGGGGAUGACGUCAAGUCAUCAUGCCCCUUAUGUCCAGGGCUUCACGCAUGCUACAAUGGCUGGUACAGAGAGUGGCGAGCCUGUGAGGGUGAGCGGAUCUCGGAAAGCCGGUCUCAGUUCGGAUUGGGGUCUGCAACUCGACCUCAUGAAGUCGGAGUCGCUAGUAAUCGCAGAUCAGCAACGCUGCGGUGAAUACGUUCCCGGGGCU
rnacentral:rRNA from 1 species